UCAGCCGUGACGCAAGCGCUGAGCAGUCCGCUGCGUUCGGUUGCGGCGUCGGCGUGUGCACAGGGGUCGCGCGCCACAACUGCUAUCAGCGUCGCAUGCUGUGCUGUGUCGGGGUCGGCUGACGCCCCACGUCUCUGUCACUGAAGUCGCCGUGUUUGACGUGCCGGCGGCUGCCUCUUGAAUGGGACGGCGGCUGGUGGCGGCGGCGCAGCCAGACACCGUGGACAGAUUGCCGAGCAGUAAAAGUCUCCUCUAAAUCGACGCAGUGGGUUUCAGCAGACACGCGGCCGGCGCCAUGGCGAUGGGGUGCGGCGCCACCUGCGCCAAGAUCUCCCUGGUCGCCUUCAACCUCGUUUUCUGGGUGGUGGGAUGCUGCGUGCUGGCGCUGUCGGGCUGGUGGCUGCUGGACGUGCCGCGCAGCCACCUGUUCGCGCUGCUGGCCACGCCGCAGGUCCCCGGCGAGGCG